UACGGGGGGAGCAAGCGUUGUUCGGAUUUACUGGGCGUAAAGGGCGCGUAGGCGGCGCAACAAGUCACUUGUGAAAAUCGUCCGGGCUUAACCCGGAGCGGCCAAGUGAUACUGUCGUGCUAGAGUGCGGAAGGGGCUACUGGAAUUCUCGGUGUAGCGGUGAAAUGCGUAGAUAUCGAGAGGAACACCUGCGGCGAAGGCGGGUAGCUGGGCCGACACUGACGCUGAGGCGCGAAAGCCAGGGGAGCGAACGGG
rnacentral:rRNA from 1 species